GACGUAGGGUGCGAGCGUUGUCCGGAUUUAUUGGGCGUAAAGAGCUCGUAGGCGGUUUGUCGCGUCUGCUGUGAAAACUCAGGGCUUAACUCUGAGCUUGCAGUGGGUACGGGCAGACUAGAGUACUGCAGGGGAGACUGGAAUUCCUGGUGUAGCGGUGAAAUGCGCAGAUAUCAGGAGGAACACCGGUGGCGAAGGCGGUUCUCUGGGCCUUACCUGACACUGAGGAGCGAAAGCGUGGGGAGCGAACAGG
rnacentral:rRNA from 1 species